CCUACGGGAGGCAGCAGUGAGGAAUAUUGGUCAAUGGACGAGAGUCUGAACCAGCCAAGUAGCGUGAAGGAUGACUGCCCUAUGGGUUGUAAACUUCUUUUAUAUGGGAAUAAAAUGUUCCACGUGUGGGAUUUUGUAUGUACCAUAUGAAUAAGGAUCGGCUAACUCCGUGCCAGCAGCCGCGGUAAUACGGAGGAUCCGAGCGUUAUCCGGAUUUAUUGGGUUUAAAGGGAGCGUAGGUGGAUUGUUAAGUCAGUUGUGAAAGUUUGCGGCUCAACCGUAAAAUUGCAGUUGAAACUGGCAGUCUUGAGUAUAGUAGAGGUAGGCGGAAUUCGUGGUGUAGCGGUGAAAUGCUUAGAUAUCACGAAGAACUCCGAUUGCGAAGGCAGUUCACUGGACUGCAACUGACACUGAGGCUCGAAAGUGUGGGUAUCAAACAGGAUUAGAUACCCUUGUAGUC
rnacentral:rRNA from 1 species